rnacentral:rRNA from 1 species
UACGUAGGCAGCGAGCGUUGUUCGGAGUUACUGGGCGUAAAGGGUGUGUAGGCGGUUGUUUAAGUUUGGUGUGAAAUCUCCCGGCUCAACUGGGAGGGUGCGCCGAAUACUGGAAUGACUUCGAGUGCGGGGAGAGGAAAGUGGGAAAUUCCUGGUGUAGCGGUGAAAUGCGUAGAUAUCAGGAGGAACACCGGUGGCGAAGGCGGUUCUCUGGGCAUGACCUGACGCUGAGGAGCGAAAGUGUGGGGAGCGAACAGG